rnacentral:rRNA from 1 species
GACGAACGCUGGCGGCGUGCUUAACACAUGCAAGUCGAACGGAAAGGCCCUGCUUUUGUGGGGUGCUCGAGUGGCGAACGGGUGAGUAACACGUGAGUAACCUGCCCUUGACUUUGGGAUAACUUCAGGAAACUGGGGCUAAUACCGGAUUGGAGCUCCUGCUGCAUGGUGGGGGUUGGAAAGUUUCGGCGGUUGGGGAUGGACUCGCGGCUUAUCAACUUGUUGGUGGGGUAGUGGCUUACCAAGGCUUUGACGGGUAGCCGGCCUGAGAGGGUGACCGGCCACAUUGGGACUGAGAUACGGCCCAGACUCCUACGGGAGGCAGCAGUGGGGAAUAUUGCACAAUGGGCGGAAGCCUGAUGCAGCAACGCCGCGUGCGGGAUGACGGCCUUCGGGUUGUAAACCGCUUUCGCCUGUGACGAAGCGUGAGUGACGGUAAUGGGUAAAGAAGCACCGGCUAACUACGUG